rnacentral:rRNA from 1 species
GACAGAGGUGCCGAGCGUUAGGCGGAAUCACUGGGCUUAAAGCGUGUGUAGGCGGGUCGUUAAGUGUCUUGUGAAAUCCCACCGCUCAACGGUGGAACUGCUGGGCAUACUGGCGAUCUUGAGCCACCUAGGGGCAGACGGAACAAGCGGUGGAGCGGUGAAAUGCGUAGAUAUCGCUUGGAACGCCGACGGUGAAAACAGUCAUGCUGGGGGUGUGGCUGCGCUGAGACACGAAAGCCAGGGGAGCGAACGGG